rnacentral:lncRNA from 11 species
CAGAUCUAGAUGGACAUAAAUUCUUGACUCUAAAACCUCCCAUCUCUAAAUCUGCUGGCAGGGCUGAUCCUUCUUCUUCCUCCACCAUUGUGUCAUUGACACACACACACCUCUUCACUCUCUCUCUUCCUUAGGACAGUCCUCAAGAUGAACAAAUACCUUCUCCUGGGCUUCUCUGUUCUACUCUUCUGUGCAACUGCUCAAUCUCUUGUGUGCAGAGUUUGCAAAUAUAAACUUGGUACUCUCUGUUUCAAGUCGGAUGAGCCCUGCAGGGCCAAAGAAGGCCAGCUUUGUGAGACAACUGAGGUGUAUUCGGAUAGGGUAUUGCUCUACAAAACACAUGGCUGUGGCAAAUACGCAGAGCUCUGCAACAAGACAGAGGAGCGGGAAAACGCCUUCAAGAUGGCCUACAAGCGCACCUGCUGCGAUGCUGACUUGUGCAAUGUUUGAUUUUGCCAUGCCUCUUCUUCUUAGCUGGGCUCAGACUUGGAAUUUGGGUGGCAGCUGACAUGUUUGCUAUAAAAGUUGACAGAAGUGCCUCCUUUCACACCAAGGGUAUUAUCAUUUUUAUUUAGCACUUUUAUUUCACUUUCAUUGCCAUGGCUAGACCCCAUGUUUACUAAGGCCAAGAAUUCUCUGGCUGUGAAUUCUAAGUGCCCUGCCUUGAAAUGAUUACCUCGGGAUUCUAUCGGAUGCCAUCAGGGCAGUUAAAGUAGAAUCAUAGCACUAUAACAGUUUAGUUUACCAGGAUCCCACAACAUGCAAUCGGUGUCUUCCCAAUCCCAUCCCUUCAACCUAAUGUCCCCCAAAACCACACAUGAUACUAGAGGAUGAGAAUCAUACACAUAGCAUGUGUUACUGUGUGUUUCCUGAAAUGUGUGGGAAGCAUUACUGGGAGCUUAUUCACACUACACAAUAGCGGUAUUUCCCUUUAACUGCCAUGGGACAUGUCUACACAAAUUUAAAAAACAAUAGCUUGAAUAUGGGAAAUAACUUUUUAUAGAAACUUCUUGCAUGACAUACACGUUUUGCAUUUGAUAUCUUCUUAAUUCACAUUGUAUGAGACUGGGGCUUGUUUUUUUUCCUCUUCCAAAAAAUAGCUUAAGCUUAAACAUACUCCAUUGAGCCUCCAAAUAUCUAAUAUCACAUUAGUUACCCUGUUUCCCUGAAAAUAAGACAUCCCCGGAAAAUAAGACCUAGUAGAGGUUUUGCUGAAUUGCUAAAUAUAAGGCCUCCCCCAAAAGUAAGACCUAGCAAAGUUUUUGUUUGGAACCAUGUCUGCCAAACAGAACACCAGAGCAUGCAGAAUUGGUAAGUGUACAUACCAGUUGUACAUGGAAAUAAUGGUAGUAACAAGAAAUUCUUGAUAGGAUUCACAGUUUGUCUGGUUAUGUUGGUUUGUGAUGACAACUACUGUAUAGUAUAUAAUGUUCAUUUUUUUGUUCAACAAUAAAUGUGAAUUCUUCUUCAUUGAAAAAUAAGACAUCCCCUGUAAAUAAGACCUAGCACAUCUUUGGGAGCAAAAAUUAAUAUAAGACACUGUCAUAUUUUCGGGGAAACACGGUAUAUGGAAUGCAGUUGUACAGUGAUAUGGUCCUAUGUUUUACAUCCAUGUUUCACUUUUUGUAUGAAAUGUUAUGGCUUUCAAACAGUACUGUUUGCUAAAGUUUAGCUUGAAAGAAUCAAUAAAGUUGGUUGAUGGAUA